CAGUAGCCGCGGGAAUACGGAGGGUGCAAGCGUUAAUCGGAAUUACUGGGCGUAAAGCGCACGCAGGCGGUCUGACAAGUCAGAUGUGAAAUCCCCGGGCUUAACCUGGGAAUGGCAGUGGAUACUGGCAAGCUAGAGUGUGUCAGAGGAUGGUGGAAUUCCCGGUGUAGCGGUGGAAUGCGUAGAGAUCGGGAGGAACAUCAGUGGCGAAGGCGGCCAUCUGGGACAACACUGACGCUGAGGCACGAAAGCGUGGGGAGCAAACAGGAUUAGAUACCCCCGUAGUCCCUGUCUCUUAUAC
rnacentral:rRNA from 1 species